rnacentral:rRNA from 1 species
AAAUUGAAGAGUUUGAUCAUGGCUCAGAUUGAACGCUGGCGGCAGGCCUAACACAUGCAAGUCGAACGGUAACAGGAAGMAGCUUGCUKCUUUGCUGACGAGUGGCGGACGGGUGAGUAAUGUCUGGGAAACUGCAUGAUGGAGGGGGAUAACUACUGGAAACGGUAGCUAAUACCGC